rnacentral:sRNA from 1 species
GACAGGCUGGGAACCUGGGGCCCUACUCAUGGAGGUGACCCCCCCGGAGGAGCUGCGUCUGCCAGCCCCACCCAGCCCAGAGGUGAGUAGCCUCCCUUCUAAUCCUCCUCCUCCUCCUCUUUGCCCUCCCCCACAAGGACUGCCUCCCCAAGCCCAGGGCCACUGCUAGCUUACAGGGGUCCUUAGUGCAGAUGAUAAAAGAUGCCCCUUUCUACACCCCAUCGUAUCUGGCCUACGCUUCCCAGAUGGGUACCCUUAUGCAAGGUAUGAGCUGCUCAAGUGCAUGGCGACCCCGCACAAGCCCUCUCCAGGUUCCUCUAGGGGCGGGUGUGGGGUCCUGUUAGCAGUCCACCAGAAUGACAGGAAAAGGAGUAAUGGGCAGCCUUGCCCCUACCUGCCCUCCCGACUCAACAGAGGAGGCCCC